ACGUAUUCGUAUUUUUUCAAGACAGGGAUUAAAAUUUACUAAUGGUCAAACAUGAAUGAGGCACGUAAUGUAAAUUUUAUACAGCUUGGUGACAAUUAAAUGUGGUCAAUUAAAGGGCAGAAAGAGGUAGGAAUAAAUUGCCACAAACCUUCCUGACAUUAAGAGGUUUAAAUAAUGUAUUGCAGUGAAUUGACAACUAAAUUGCAAAGUCUAGCCCUAAAAGCAGGGAGAAAUAUUAGCAUUGUCUAAAAAAUAUUAAAUAAUAUUGUUUUUUUUUUUUUUAACAUUCAAUAAAUAAUAUAUUGCAGUGUAGUUACCAAUUCAUCACGAUUUGCUGAAUAAACCUCAGAAAAAAAAUAUCUGUUUAGUAUGUAGUGGACGGUAUAUGUUGAAUAUGGCGCAGGAGCCUUUUAACUUCAUGGACUAUAUGUCUAUAUAUUACUCUAUAGAAUAUGUGAUUGCAUACUCUAUGAAGUCAAAAAGAAUAGAGCUGCCCCUGAAGUGUGACCUUCUUAAAUAUGGAUAAAAGAUUUUAGCAUUGAAAAUGUGGGUCAUAGAGGGAGAACAUCAAAAUUACCAAAAAACAGGGUCAUUAACUCUCGUCCAUCAAAUAUUUGUAUUGCCACAUAAAGAUACCUUUUUAUAAUACAAACUUUUCAGGA